CUCCGGUUGAUCCCGCCGGACCUGACUGCUAUCGGAUUGGUACUAAGCCAUGCGAGUCGUUGUAGCAAUACAAGGCGGACGGCUCAGUAACACGUAGUCAACCUAACCUAUGGACGUGGAUAACCUCGGGAAACUGAGAAUAAACCGCGAUAGAUCAUUAUGCCUGGAAUGGCUUAUGGUUCAAACAAUUUAUUGCCGUAGGAUGGGACUGCGGCCUAUCAGCUUGUUGGUGAGGUAAUGGCCCACCAAGGCUAUAACAGGUACGGGCUCUGAGAGGAGAAGCCCGGAGAUGGGUACUGAGACACGGACCCAGGCCCUAUGGGGCGCAGCAGGCGAGAAACCUUAGCAAUGUGCGAAAGCACGACUAGGUUAAUCCGAGUGAUUUCUGUUGAAGAAAUCUUUUGUCAGUCGUAAAACCACAGACGAAUAAGGGGUGGGCAAGUCUGGUGUCAGCCGCCGCGGUAAUACCAGCACCUCGAGUGGUCAGGAGGUUUAUUGGGCCUAAAGCAUCCGUAGCCGGCUACGCAAGUCUCCGGUUAAAUCCAGCUGCUCAACAGAUGGGCUGCCGGAGAUACUACAUAGCUAGGGAGCGGGAGAGGUAGACGGUAUUCUGUGGGUAGGGGUAAAAUCCACUGAUCCAUAGAGGACCACCAGUGGCGAAGGCGGUCUACCAGAACGCGUUCGACGGUGAGGGAUGAAAGCUGGGGGAGCAAACCGGAUUAGAUACCCGGGUAGUCCCAGCUGUAAACGAUGCAAACUCGGUGAUGCAUUGGCUUAUGGCCAAUGCAGUGCCGCAGGGAAGCCGUUAAGUUUGCCGCCUGGGAAGUACGGACGCAAGUCUGAAACUUAAAGGAUUUGGCGGGGGAGCACAAGGGCGAAAUU
rnacentral:rRNA from 1 species